GGGUUGUGAGGUUAAGCGACUAAGCGUACACGGUGGAUGCCCUGGCAGUCAGAGGCGAUGAAGGGCGUGCUAAUCUGCGAUAAGCGCCGGUAAGGUGAUAUGAACCGUUAUAACCGGCGAUACCCGAAUGGGGAAACCCAGUGUGACUCGUCACACUAUCAUUAACUGAAUCCAUAGGUUAAUGAGGCGAACCGGGGGAACUGAAACAUCUAAGUACCCCGAGGAAAAGAAAUCAACCGAGAUUCCCCCAGUAGCGGCGAGCGAACGGGGAGGAGCCCAGAGCCUGAAUCAGCAUGUGUGUUAGUGGAAGCGUCUGGAAAGGCGCGCGAUACAGGGUGACAGCCCCGUACACAAAAAUGCACAUGCUGUGAGCUCGAUGAGUAGGGCGGGACACGUGGUAUCCUGUCUGAAUAUGGGGGGACCAUCCUCCAAGGCUAAAUACUCCUGACUGACCGAUAGUGAACCAGUACCGUGAGGGAAAGGCGAAAAGAACCCCGGCGAGGGGAGUGAAAAAGAACCUGAAACCGUGUACGUACAAGCAGUGGGAGCACAGGUUUACCUGUGUGACUGCGUACCUUUUGUAUAAUGGGUCAGCGACUUAUAUUCUGUAGCAAGGUUAACCGCAUAGGGGAGCCGGAGGGAAACCGAGUCUUAAUUGGGCGUUAAGUUGCAGGGUAUAGACCCGAAACCCGGUGAUCUAGCCAUGGGCAGGUUGAAGGUUGGGUAACACUAACUGGAGGACCGAACCGACUAAUGUUGAAAAAUUAGCGGAUGACCUGUGGCUGGGGGUGAAAGGCCAAUCAAACCGGGAGAUAGCUGGUUCUCCCCGAAAGCUAUUUAGGUAGCGCCUCGUGAAUUCAUCUCCGGGGGUAGAGCACUGUUUCGGCUAGGGGGCCAUCCCGGCUUACCAACCCGAUGCAAACUGCGAAUACCGGAGAAUGUUAUCACGGGAGACACACGGCGGGUGCUAACGUCCGUCGUGAAGAGGGAAACAACCCAGACCGCCAGCUAAGGUCCCAAAGUCAUGGUUAAGUGGGAAACGAUGUGGGAAGGCCCAGACAGCCAGGAUGUUGGCUUAGAAGCAGCCAUCAUUUAAAGAAAGCGUAAUAGCUCACUGGUCGAGUCGGCCUGCGCGGAAGAUGUAACGGGGCUAAACCAUGCACCGAAGCUGCGGCAGCGACGCUUAUGCGUUGUUGGGUAGGGGAGCGUUCUGUAAGCCUGUGAAGGUGGCCUGUGAGGGUUGCUGGAGGUAUCAGAAGUGCGAAUGCUGACAUAAGUAACGAUAAAGCGGGUGAAAAGCCCGCUCGCCGGAAGACCAAGGGUUCCUGUCCAACGUUAAUCGGGGCAGGGUGAGUCGACCCCUAAGGCGAGGCCGAAAGGCGUAGUCGAUGGGAAACGGGUUAAUAUUCCCGUACUUGGUGUUACUGCGAAGGGGGGACGGAGAAGGCUAUGUUGGCCGGGCGACGGUUGUCCCGGUUUAAGCGUGUAGGUGUGUGUUCCAGGUAAAUCCGGUUCACUUUAACACUGAGGCGUGACGACGAGGCACUACGGUGCUGAAGCAACAAAUGCCCUGCUUCCAGGAAAAGCCUCUAAGCAUCAGGUAACAUCAAAUCGUACCCCAAACCGACACAGGUGGUCAGGUAGAGAAUACCAAGGCGCUUGAGAGAACUCGGGUGAAGGAACUAGGCAAAAUGGUGCCGUAACUUCGGGAGAAGGCACGCUGACACGUAGGUGAAGUGAUUUACUCAUGGAGCUGAAGUCAGUCGAAGAUACCAGCUGGCUGCAACUGUUUAUUAAAAACACAGCACUGUGCAAACACGAAAGUGGACGUAUACGGUGUGACGCCUGCCCGGUGCCGGAAGGUUAAUUGAUGGGGUCAGCGCAAGCGAAGCUCCUGAUCGAAGCCCCGGUAAACGGCGGCCGUAACUAUAACGGUCCUAAGGUAGCGAAAUUCCUUGUCGGGUAAGUUCCGACCUGCACGAAUGGCGUAAUGAUGGCCAGGCUGUCUCCACCCGAGACUCAGUGAAAUUGAACUCGCUGUGAAGAUGCAGUGUACCCGCGGCAAGACGGAAAGACCCCGUGAACCUUUACUAUAGCUUGACACUGAACAUUGAGCCUUGAUGUGUAGGAUAGGUGGGAGGCUUUGAAGUGUGGACGCCAGUCUGCAUGGAGCCGACCUUGAAAUACCACCCUUUAAUGUUUGAUGUUCUAACGUGGACCCGUGAUCCGGGUUGCGGACAGUGUCUGGUGGGUAGUUUGACUGGGGCGGUCUCCUCCUAAAGAGUAACGGAGGAGCACGAAGGUUGGCUAAUCCUGGUCGGACAUCAGGAGGUUAGUGCAAUGGCAUAAGCCAGCUUGACUGCGAGCGUGACGGCGCGAGCAGGUGCGAAAGCAGGUCAUAGUGAUCCGGUGGUUCUGAAUGGAAGGGCCAUCGCUCAACGGAUAAAAGGUACUCCGGGGAUAACAGGCUGAUACCGCCCAAGAGUUCAUAUCGACGGCGGUGUUUGGCACCUCGAUGUCGGCUCAUCACAUCCUGGGGCUGAAGUAGGUCCCAAGGGUAUGGCUGUUCGCCAUUUAAAGUGGUACGCGAGCUGGGUUUAGAACGUCGUGAGACAGUUCGGUCCCUAUCUGCCGUGGGCGCUGGAGAACUGAGGGGGGCUGCUCCUAGUACGAGAGGACCGGAGUGGACGCAUCACUGGUGUUCGGGUUGUCAUGCCAAUGGCACUGCCCGGUAGCUAAAUGCGGAAGAGAUAAGUGCUGAAAGCAUCUAAGCACGAAACUUGCCCCGAGAUGAGUUCUCCCUGAGACUUAGAGUCUCCUGAAGGAACGUUGAAGACGACGACGUUGAUAGGCCGGGUGUGUAAGCGCAGCGAUGCGUUGAGCUAACCGGUACUAAUGAACCGUGAGGCUUAACCUUACAACGCCGAAG
rnacentral:rRNA from 2 species